UGAUGAUGAUGAAGACAUCUCAUAAACAUCGAUUUGAAUCUGUCCCAAGCUUCAUACAAGUUCUCACCACCUUUCUGCCUAAGACAUAAAAUGUCACUCCUCAAAUU